rnacentral:lncRNA from 1 species
AUCCAUAUUUAAAACUUAAUUGCUCCUAGGAUAUAUAUACUACAUACUUGAUUAUAAAAUAAUUAUCAAUGUGAAUCAUGGUAGCAAAUAUAUUAUUAUAUUAAUGCACAACUUUCCGUGCAUCACAAUACUAAUGACACCUUAUAAUCAAAUUUUUAAUGUGAAAUUUUGCUUUAUGAAUAGACGAAAUUUUAUGUCCAUUCCUUAGUCAUCUAUAUAUCACAUGGUAAACAGCUGAUCACCAUAAAAAAUAAAAUAAACUGAAUUUAUUAUAAAAUCUAAUAUAAUAAUUUUAUGCAUAGUGUCUAGUAUAUAUCAUCAAAUGAGCUAUAUCCCAUAUGAUCCAUAUGAUUCUUCAAAAUUUCAAUAAUGAGUUCUUUAUUCAAUAGAUCUAUAAUUAUUUUUUUUUUAAAUAAUAUAUUUUGUAAAUAUUAUAUUUUUUAUUUUCUCAUACCACACCACUCACUUCCUCCCACCUUCUCCCCCGGCCC